AUUGAACGCUGGCGGCAGGCCUAACACAUGCAAGUCGAACGGAGUGGCGGACGGGUGAGUAAUGUCUGGGAAACUGCCUGAUGGAGGGGGAUAACGUCCGGAAACGGGCGCUAAUACCGCAUACUAUCAGAUGAGCCUAGGUCGGAUUAGCUAGUUGGUGGUGUAAAGGCCUACCAAGGCGACGAUCAGUAACUGGUCUGAGAGGAGGAUCAGUCAAACUGGAACUGAGACAAGGUCCCGACUCCGACGUGAGGCAGCAGUGGGGAAUAUUGGACAAUGGGCGAAAGCCUGAGCCAGCCAUGCCGCGUGGGUGAAGAAGGUCUUCGGAUUGUAAAGCACUUUAAGUUGGGAGGCGUUACCAACAGAAUAAGCACCGGCUAACUUCGUGCCAGCAGCCGCGGUAAUAC
rnacentral:rRNA from 1 species